rnacentral:rRNA from 1 species
UACGAAGGGGGCUAGCGUUGCUCGGAAUCACUGGGCGUAAAGGGUGCGUAGGCGGGUCUUUAAGUCAGGGGUGAAAUCCUGGAGCUCAACUCCAGAACUGCCUUUGAUACUGGGAGUCUUGAGUUCGGGAGAGGUGAGUGGAACUGCGAGUGUAGAGGUGAAAUUCGUAGAUAUUCGCAAGAACACCAGUGGCGAAGGCGGCUCACUGGCCCGAUACUGACGCUGAGGUGCGAAAGCCAGGGGAGCAAACGGG